UACGUAGGAGGAAAGCGUUGUCCGGAAUUAUUGGGCGUAAAGCGCGCGCAGGCGGGUAUGUAAGUUUGAUGUUAAAGCCCGGGGCUCAACCUCGGUUCGCAUUGGAAACUGUGUAACUUGAGUGCAGAAGAGGAAAGUGGUAUUACACGUGUAGCGGUGAAAUGCGUAGAUAUGUGGAGGAACACCAGUGGCGAAGGCGACUUUCUGGUCUGUAACUUACGCUGAGGCGCGCAAGCGUGGGGAGCAAACAGG
rnacentral:rRNA from 1 species